AUGAAGUCUCGUUCAGUCACCUAGGCUGGAGUGCAGUGGCAUGAUCUCAGCUCCCUGCAACCUCUGCCUCCCGGGUUCAAGUGAUUCCCCUGCCUCGGCCUCCUGAGUGCCUGGGACUACAGCUGGCUGGAUUGUGGAUAUGAUGAGUAGUGCUUAAGCAGCCAUCUUGGGACCAUAAGGAAAAGCCACACAAUUAGGAAAGUGAAGCAGCCAUCGGGACAGACUUGAGGUCCCUGAUGAUCAUGGGGCUGCCAUAUCAGCGAGGACUGCCCACCUCUGGACCUCACGUCUAUUUCAUGGAAGCCAUUGUUAGCUAGUGUUUUCUAUCACAUACAGCCAACUCGAAUCCUAAUUGAUACACUGUCCCUGACUUCAAAGAGUUGAUAAAUUAGCAUGCGAAGAAAUACACAAGAUAAACAGCAUCAAAACAAUUAAAUUAAAAACCCUAGAAUUCAGCUGGGACAAACGUGGUGACUGGUAUAAGAUCAAGGCAGGUAGCUGGACAGCAGAGGGAAGAACUGCCUCUCUCAAGGCAAAAUGCGGACGUCAGAAAGGACAUCAGAGAAGAAGUGAUAUGCAAGCCAGGCUUUGAAGGAUGGGUGGAAUUUCUCCAGCAGGAAGAAAGAGAAUCUGGAAGUUUGACUGUUGCAUCUCCCUUGGCCUGACAUUGCUGACUGCACACUCGAGGUUCUGUUCAACACACUGCUCUGUCCUGUGAUCGUCCUGUGAAUUGCCAGCUGAAUCCAGAGACUGGCUCAGGCUCAGGAUUGAUCCCUUUGGUCAGACUGCAGGUAACAAGAGGAUUCAGAAUCUGAGAGAUACUGCUUAAAAGGAAAAUGUCCUGGAGGGAUGCCAAACUGCACUCUCAAAGGUUUCGGCUGGAUGUGUGAUAUUGAUGGGGAAACCCAUUUCAGUGUCUCUAAGAAGGGGGUAGUGCUCCUCUUUCCAGGAUGUCUCUGGGGAAUCUAGAGCACCCCAAAGUGUGGUAUGCAUAGAAACAUUGCUGCUUAAGGUCUGAAUAUUUGUUCCUCAUCAAUUCAUGUGUUGAAAUUCUAACCUCUCCUGAAUGGGAUUAGUGCUCUUACACGAGAGGCCUGACAGAGACUCCUCACCCUUCCCACCAUGCGAAGACACAGUGAGAAGGCUCAGUCUAUGAACCAAAAUGUUGACUGUCACCAUUUACUCAAUCUGCUGUCGCCUUGAGCUUGGACUUCCCAGCCUCCAGAACUGUGAGAAAUAAAUUUCUGUUGCUUAUAAGACAACCAGUUUAUGACAUUUCGUUAUAGCAGCCUGAAUGGACUAAGACACCCUUCCCACCAUGUGAAGACAGAGUGAGAAGGUUCGGUCUAUGAACCAAAAACUGACCCUCACCAGUCAUUGAAUCUGCUGGUGCCUUGAUCUUGGACUUCCCAGCCUCCAGAACUGUGAGAAAUAAAUUUCUGUCGUUUAUAAGCCACCUAGUUUAUGAUACUUUGUUAUAGCAGCCUGAAUGGACUGAGACACCCACCUUAAAAAGACAGUACCUCAAAACCAUAAGGCAGGAUAACUGCUAGCCUGAUAUUAAUAGUUUUUAAUUUACUGCUAGCUUCAUUUUGCCAACUGAGUCAGAUAUUUUUUAAAAGUUCUGUUUGCAAUUAUUUUAACUUAGGAGAGGAGAAAAAGAGCAGGCAUCAGCCUGCAUAUGGGAUAUUUCUGAAAGGAUUUUGCUAUGAUUAGCUUGCCCUCAGGGAGAGUAAAAUGUGAGUUAUACAACCAUGCUUAUAUUUAGAUGUUGUUGAUGUUCUGGCUUAUAAUAUAUGAUGAGUUAGAAAUAAUUUUGUACUGAUCAGCCCAACCAGAAAAUAAACAUGCUUUAACUUGUAUUUAUUACUAAACUUGGUCUCCUAAAACAUGAUAAAGCAGUUGAGUCUAUAAUGACUGAGCCAUAGCUUCUCUGACUGACUCUAAGAGGGAAUGACGUUAAUAAGAGAUUAGCCCAUACCUCUAAUAGCCCUGGGAGAGAUGAACCCAAGACGGCAAGGCCCAGCUCUGAUGGAUGAAGGGACAGAGAACUAUAAGAAGACUGGGUUCCAUCUAGGAUGGGUGGCCUGUUGAGUGCCCAUCUUAUCUGCUUAGAUGAUGAUACUUGGAGACCUGACUCAAUUGUUGUGAAUGGUCUUUGUAAAAUUUUAUUUUAGAGACAGGGUCUUGCUAUGUUGCCCAGGCUGGUCUCAAACACCUGGGCUCAAGUGAUCCUCCUGCCUCAGCCUCCUGAGUAGCUGGAACUGCAAGUGAUUACUCUUAUUGAACAAACAAACAAAAACAAGUGCCUGUGACCUAAUAGAGAUGCAUGCAUAUGUUCACCAAAAGAUCUAGAAUGUCCACAACAGCCCUAUUUAUCAUCACCCCAAAUGGGGCACCCUGCACCUACCUCAACAGUAGAUGCAUACAUUUCUGUGUAUUUACACUGUGGAAUAUGACACAGCAAUGACAAUGAAUGAACUACAGCUAUACACAACAACAUGGAUGGCUAUCACAAACAUAAGGUAGAGCUAAAAGCGAAAAAAACCAGCAUAAAAGUGGGCAAAAGCCAUCUAUGUUGUUAAAAAUCAGGAUAGUGGCUGCCCUGGAAGGGGGCAUGAGGAGGCUUCAAGGUGCUUGUCAUGUUCUCUUUCUUCACU
rnacentral:lncRNA from 1 species